GACGGGCAUAGUGGCGCAUGCCUGUAAUCCCAGUGGCUUGGGAGGCUGAGGCAGGAGGAUUGUGAGUUCAAAGCUUGCCUCAACAACUGUAAGGCACUAAGCAACUCAGUGAGACCCUGUCUCUA
rnacentral:sRNA from 1 species